GUAACAAGGUUUCCGUAGGUGAACCUGCGGAAGGAUCAUUACAGAGUUCAUGCCCGAAAGGGUAGACCUCCCACCCUUGUGUAUUAUUACUUUGUUGCUUUGGCGAGCUGCCUUCGGGCCUUGUAUGCUCGCCAGAGAAUACCAAAACUCUUUUUAUUAAUGUCGUCUGAGUACUAUAUAAUAGUUAAAACUUUCAACAACGGAUCUCUUGGUUCUGGCAUCGAUGAAGAACGCAGCGAAAUGCGAUAAGUAAUGUGAAUUGCAGAAUUCAGUGAAUCAUCGAAUCUUUGAACGCACAUUGCGCCCCUUGGUAUUCCGGGGGGCAUGCCUGUUCGAGCGUCAUUUCAACCCUCAAGCUUAGCUUGGUAUUGAGUCUAUGUCAGUAAUGGCAGGCUCUAAAAUCAGUGGCGGCGCCGCUGGGUCCUGAACGUAGUAAUAUCUCUCGUUACAGGUUCUCGGUGUGCUUCUGCCAAAACCCAAAUUUUUCUAUGGUUGACCUCGGAUCAGGUAGGGAUACCCGCUGAACUUAAGCAUAUCA
rnacentral:rRNA from 1 species